rnacentral:rRNA from 1 species
GAUAUUUUAUGUAUGUGUGAAUUAAUCUUCUAACAUCAUAUUAUUUAUAUAAUUUAUUAUUUAUAUAUAUAUAUAUUAAAAUUACAUUUAAAAUAAUCAUUUAUUAAAUUGACUAUGUUAAAAUUAGUAUAAUAUUUUUAUUUAAUUAAGGAACUCGGCAAACUAUUAUUCAUCUGUUUAUCAAAAACAUAGUCUUAUGUAUUAAUAUAAGAUAAAACCUGCCCACUGAUAUAAUUUAACGGCCGCAGUACCUUGACUGUGCUAAGGUAGCAUAAUAAAUUGACUCUUAAUUGGGGCCUUGAAUGAAUGGAUAUAUGAAUAAUUUCUGUCUCAAAUAAACUUAUUUUAAAUUACUUAAAAGGUGAAAAUUCCUUUAAUAUAUAAAUUAGACGAGAAGACCCUAGGAGUUUAAAAAUUUUGUUGGGGCGACAAUAUAGCAUAAAACCUAUAUAAUAAUUAAAAAUAUAACGAAUAAUAUUAAUAAUAAAUAAACUACCCUAGGGAUAACAGCACAAUUUAUUUUUUAAGUUUGUGACCUCGAUGUUGGAUUAGGGACUUUUAAUAUUAACAGUGUUAAUUGGGAGUUCUGUUCGA